GCCUGGGUGGCUCAGUCAGUUGAGCAUCUGACUUUGGCUCAGGUCAUGAUCUUGCAGUUUGUGAGUUCGAGCCCCACGUUGGGCU
rnacentral:tRNA from 1 species